GAUUGAACGCUGGCGGCAUGCCUUACACAUGCAAGUCGAACGGCAGCACGGGAGCAAUCCUGGUGGCGAGUGGCGAACGGGUGAGUAAUAUAUCGGAACGUGCCCAGUCGUGGGGGAUAACGCAGCGAAAGCUGUGCUAAUACCGCAUACGAUCUCUGGAUGAAAGCGGGGGACUCGCAAGGGCCUCGCGCGAUUGGAGCGGCCGAUAUCAGAUUAGCUAGUUGGUGGGGUAAAGGCCCACCAAGGCGACGAUCUGUAGCUGGUCUGAGAGACGACCAGCCACACUGGAACUGAGACACGGUCCAGACUCCUAAGGGGA
rnacentral:rRNA from 1 species